rnacentral:rRNA from 1 species
ACCGUACUCCUACGGGAGGCAGCAGUGGGGAAUAUUGGACAAUGGGGGGAACCCUGAUCCAGCCAUGCCGCGUGUGUGAAGAAGGCCUUAUGGUUGUAAAGCACUGUAAGCGAGGAGGAGGCUCUCUUGGUUAAUACCCAAGAAGAGUGGACGUUACUCGCAGAAUAAGCACCGGCUAACUCUGUGCUAGCAGCCGCGGUAAUACAGAGGGUGCGAGCGUUAAUCGGAUUUACUGGGCGUAAAGCGUGCGUAGGCGGCUUUUUAAGUCGGAUGUGAAAUCCCCGAGCUUAACUUGGGAAUUGCAUUCGAUACUGGGAAGCUAGAGUAUGGGAGAGGAUGGUAGAAUUCCAGGUGUAGCGGUGAAAUGCGUAGAGAUCUGGAGGAAUACCGAUGGCGAAGGCAGCCAUCUGGCCUAAUACUGACGCUGAGGUACGAAAGCAUGGGGAGCAAACAGGAUUAGAUACCCCAGUAGUCCUUGAC